rnacentral:lncRNA from 1 species
UAGAAUGUUUACAAAGAUAGUUGUUUACAAGAAAGUGUUUACAAGGAAAUGUUUGCAAGGAUGUUAUGAAGACCACGGAUGCUUGAGAGUAUGAAAAUGGUGUGAGAGUAGGGUGUUCAAAUGUUGAGUGGGAGAGGUCUGUGUUUGCAAUGAAUGAAACUUGACUUUUAUAGACUGAAUCAAGAUACAAUGAUAUUAAAAUUAUAAAUAAAUGGUGUAGACACCUCUUUGGUACUUGUCAUUUGUCAUUAUGCUUCUACUGUUGUUGAAAUUGUCAGCACUGUUUCUGACACGUGGCCUGAUGCAUGUGAACUUGCUUGUCUCCUUUUGCAUGUGAAUUUGCUGCAUGGUUUGUCUCCUGGUGCCCAACUUUUGCAUGUGAUAUCCCUGAAAUGCUCUUUCUCUUAAAAUACUCUUUCCCUUGUCUUCUUUUACAUGCCCAUUUUGGGUAUUAUUGAAUUGUUUUAUCUUUAUGAUUAAUUGAAUUCAAUAAAUUUAUUAUUGAAUUAAUAAAUUUAUACAAUCAAGGAAAUAAUUGAGUUCAGUACAUAUUUCUGAAUCCUUUGUGGAGAAGUUGAAAAACUACAUAUUACUUAACAAUGCCAUAAAAUUUGAACUUUCAGGCAAAUUCUUAAUGCUUCAAAUUUUACUGAUGUUUACGUGUCAUCUAAAAAGACUUGUUCACAUGUAAGGAUUGUGUUGAGAGUAUAUCAAAUAUAAUGAGGAUCCUCUCCAGAUCUUCUUUGUGAGGAUUCUGAGAUUCUCCAAUCAUAUAUGUUCAUCGUAUAUCGUGCGGUCAUAAAUUAUUGUAAAUUUUUUUAUUUAAAAUUAAAUAUAAACAAUACCUGGUGAAAAUUGGUCGCACGAUGUACGAAGAAUGAUGUGUUUGGAGGAUUCCCAAAAUCCUCACAAAGAGGAUCCGGAGAGGAUCCUUAUUCUAUCAAAUAAUACCAUUUUAGUUAGAAAAUAUGUGAAAAGUCUUAUGUUGUCCUAACUUUUAUUCAAUGUUUGGACGAGGAACUUCAGAUCCAAUUAUUGAAAUUGCACUAUAACAUCCCUACCAAUGAAUUACUCAAGCAUUUAAAAACAAGUACUAAAACAACUAUAAAUGCAUUAAACUAAGUCUGGUUUGGUGUCUAAAAUUGAAUUGAAAUUGGAUAAUCUACUAUACUUAAGGUAUAUUGAAAGAAGAAGUGAAAAAAUUGAUCUAAUUUGAAGGUAGAAGAUGGAUUACCAAUUAAAGAAACUUAUUCAUUUCAAUCCUUGUCAUAUUAGUGGGAUUGAGGGAAUAAGUUUCAUGUCACACUUCGGACUCGAGGUCGGUGGAAAAAUAAACCCCACACCCGGCGCGCAAAUAAAAGUAAAAAUAAAACAGAAAACAAACUUCUAUUCUAUAAAUAACUCUAAAAUCCUUAUAGGUGUACAAGAUAAUAAAAUCCUUAAAAUUCCUCGUCUAACACAAUCUCAACUUGUCUACCCUUCGUUAAUCUUGUACCAAACCUGCAAGGUCUAAAAUAUAUAGGGUAAGUGAAACUACAGCUCAAUAAGGAUAUAAAUCUUAUCAAGGAUAAUCGUCAAGGCUAAACCAAAUGUCAUGCUCACAUAAAUCAAUUGUAACAUGUUAUCAAAUAUCAACAACAUAAAUUAUAUUCCAUGAAUGCAGCUUAACUUCAAUUACCCAACCCAUUAAUCUAUAUAAUAAAAUAUGCGGACUUGUAUGUCCCAUACCAUGCAUUUUACCACUGCAGCGGUGGUCCGAAUGCUUUAUUAUACAAACACCCGUAACUCAAUCAUCCUAAUUCCCCUUUUGUUAGUCAUCUUGUCAUUCUCUCGGUCUCCAGAGCCCCCACUGCUUCAUACUAUUCCUGUAAUUUCACUUUUACCAUCCUUGCUAGUCCCUACAAAAGUCGAACUCAACCACACAAAAGAUAGUUCCAUUUUCAUAUCCCAAUCUCGAAUAAACCAAUAGAAUCCUUCAACUCUAGUAUGCAAUGAUAUAUACAUAUAAUCAUCAUUAUCACAAUAUCCACAUUAUCGAAAAUAACAAUAAUAUCAUAUAUGUUAGAGUUUUUAGCCUCCUUUUGUCCCACAUCGGGGAACUCAAGUUCUCUAGAGGUCUUUAUAUUAGGUGAGUCACCUUUAUGAGUGAUUAGGUAUUGGACCAUUUGGAAUGAGAAUUGAGGUUUGGGCCACUAAUUGUGUGAAUUAGGCUUGUGAUGAUUAUACCAUAAUAUUAAUAUAAUAUUAAUAUUAAUUAAUCAAGACAAGGGCACUUGGGGCCUAAGAAGUUAAAAUUAAUCAGAGUUCGUUAAUUUUAAUUUCAAAAUAAUUUUUUAAUUAAAUUAAUUAAAAACCGUUUAGAUUAAUAGACACAACUGUUUGGAAAGAGUUGUGUGGUUUCAGAUAUAUCCAGAAGGUAUUUGAAAAGGUAUGACAUAGCCUAUAGAGAAAUUUUAUUUGAACCCAUUUAACCUCUUUCUACACCCAACUUAAAUUUUAAAUAUGAAAUAUCUUUAUUAUCCUAUUGCACAAUUACCAUCAUGUACAAGAUGAAUUUAAUUAUAAAAGUAAAAUUUAUCAAUAAACCCAUCCCCGAUAAUCAAACACUAGCCAUCAUUAAUCUUUCUUCGACAUUCUAUUGUGGCAAAAAUCCUAAGACGUGUUCGUAGAAAUAAAAAUAGAUUUUUUUUUUACGUAUGAAUAGUGAUUUUAAAGUUUUGGAUCCUCCAACUUUUUAAUCGUCAUCAUGACUCCCACCACCACCACCCACUAACCCCACCACCACCAUACCUCCAACACUACUCAUCAUCUGGAGGAAACCUACUUCUACUUAUGCCACUACUGCUGCCAAAACAACAAGCAACGACAUAUCAAGGUCAACGACAAGAAAAGGUGGAGGAGGAGGAGAAAAGAGUUGGCAUAUGCUUUCACUAGUACUGCUACCUCUUACAUAUGAGAUCAAAACCCAACUUAUUGUAAGAGUACGGUUUCUCUGACAAAAGGGUGGCUCAAGGGGAAUCAAGC